rnacentral:rRNA from 1 species
AGAACGGGUGAGUAACGCGUCGGAACGUACCGAGUAAUGGGGGAUAACGCAGCGAAAGCUGUGCUAAUACCGCAUACGCCCUGAGGGGGAAAGUGGGGGAUCGCAAGACCUCACGUUAUUCGAGCGGCCGACGUCUGAUUAGCUAGUUGGUGGGGUAAAGGCCUAAAGGCGACGAUCAGUAGCGGGUCUGAGAGGAUGAUCCGUCACACUGGAACUGAGACACGGUCCAGACUCCUACGGGAGGCAGCAGUGGGGAAUUUUGGACAAUGGGGGCAACCCUGAUCCAGCCAUUCCGCGUGAGUGAAGAAGGCCUUCGGGUUGUAAAGCUCUUUCAGCCGGAACGAAACGGUACAUCUUAAUACGGUGUGCUAAUGACGGUACCGGCAGAAGAAGCACCGGCUAACUACGUGCCAGCAGCCGCGGUAAUACGUAGGGUGCGAGCGUUAAUCGGAAUUACUGGGCGUAAAGCGUGCGCAGGCGGAUUGUUAAGCAAGAUGUGAAAUCCCCGGGCUUAACCUGGGAAUGGCAUUUUGAACUGGCAGUCUAGAGUGUGUCAGAGGGGGGUGGAAUUCCACGUGUAGCAGUGAAAUGCGUAGAUAUGUGGAGGAACACCAAUGGCGAAGGCAGCCCCCUGGGAUAACACUGACGCUCAUGUACGAAAGCGUGGGUAGCAAACAGGAUUAGAUACCCUGGUAGUCCACGCCCUAAACGAUGUCAACUGGUUGUUGGGGGAGUGAAAUCCCUUAGUAACGAAGCUAACGCGUGAAGUUGACCGCCUGGGGAGUACGGUCGCAAGAUUAAAACUCAAAGGAAUUGACGGGGACCCGCUCAAGCGGUGGAUGAUGUGGAUUAAUUCGAUGCAACGCGAAAAACCUUACCUACCCUUGACAUGUCCAGAAUCCUGCAGAGAUGCGGGAGUGCCCGAAAGGGAAUUGGAACACAGGUGCUGCAUGGCUGUCGUCAGCUCGUGUCGUGAGAUGUUGGGUUAAGUCCCGCAACGAGCGCAACCCUUAUCAUUGGUUGCUACGCAAGGGCACUCUAAUGAGACUGCCGGUGACAAACCGGAGGAAGGUGGGGAUGACGUCAAGUCCUCAUGGCCCUUAUGGGUAGGGCUUCACACGUCAUACAAUGGUCGGUACAGAGGGUUGCCAAGCCGCGAGGUGGAGCCAAUCCCAGAAAGCCGAUCGUAGUCCGGAUUGUUCUCUGCAACUCGAGAGCAUGAAGUCGGAAUCGCUAGUAAUCGCGGAUCAGCAUGUCGCGGUGAAUACGUUCCCGGGUCUUGUACACACCGCCCGUCACACCAUGGGAGUGGAAUCUGCCAGAAGUAGGUAGCCUAACCGCAAGGAGGGCGCUUACCACGGUGGGUUUCAUGACUGGGGUGAAGUC